UUGACCUCGGAUCAGGUAGGGAUACCCGCUGAACUUAAGCAUAUCAAUAAGCGGAGGAAAAGAAACCAACAGGGAUUGCUCUAGUAACGGCGAGUGAAGCAGCAAUAGCUCAAAUUUGAAAUCUGGCGUCUUCGGCGUCCGAGUUGUAAUUUGUAGAGGAUGCUUCUGGGCAGCCACCGACCUAAGUUCCUUGGAACAGGACGUCAUAGAGGGUGAGAAUCCCGUAUGCGGUCGGAAAGGCACCCUACACGUAGCUCCUUCGACGAGUCGAGUUGUUUGGGAAUGCAGCUCUAAAUGGGAGGUAAAUUUCUUCUAAAGCUAAAUAUUGGCCAGAGACCGAUAGCGCACAAGUAGAGUGAUCGAAAGAUGAAAAGCACUUUGGAAAGAGAGUUAAAAAGCACGUGAAAUUGUUGAAAGGGAAGGGAUUGCAACCAGACUUGCUCGCGGUGUUCCGCCGGUCUUCUGACCGGUUCACUCGCCGCGUUGCAGGCCAGCAUCGUCUGGUGCCGCUGGAUAAGACUGGAGGAAUGUAGCUCCCUCGGGAGUGUUAUAGCCUCUAGUGAUGCAGCGAGCGCCGGGCGAGGUCCGCGCUUCGGCUAGGAUGCUGGCGUAAU
rnacentral:rRNA from 1 species